rnacentral:rRNA from 1 species
UACGAAGGGGGCUAGCGUUGCUCGGAAUCACUGGGCGUAAAGCGCACGUUAGGCGGUUUCUUAAGUCAGGGGUGAAAUCCUGGAGCUCAACUCCAGAACUGCCUUUGAUACUGGGAGACUUGGAGUCCGGGAGAGGUCGAGUGGAACUGCGAGUGUAGAGGUGAAAUUCGUAGAUAUUCGCAAGAACACCAGUGGCGAAGGCGGCUCACUGGCCCGGUACUGACGCUGAGGUGCGAAAGCGUGGGGAGCAAACAGG